UGCGGCAAGUGGGAUCUUAGUUCCCUGACCAGGGAUCCAACCCCAGGUCCCCUGUAUUGGUAAUGUGGAGUCUUAGCCCCUAGAACCACGAGGAAAAUCCCAUUUUUAGGGGCCUGAUCUCUGGUGGGGAGGAAAUGCUUAAGAGAACUAAGAUCUGCCCAGACAGGGUGGGACUGUGGAAAGAGAGCUGGGUCCUGGGAGCAGGCAGGGUUUCUGGGUCGGGCAGGUCAGGACUGGACCUAUAUCCGUACCUUCUUUACCCAGCAUGUGACCGUGGCCUCCUUGAUCUUUAUAGUCUUUGAUUAAGGGCAAGAGAGCGAUACCUCAUUCAUUGGCUUGUGAGAAUGAAAGAGGGUGAUGGGAGGCCUUUGAUGUGAUAGUUAAGGAGAGGAGACUCAGCUGCCAGACGUGCCUGGUUACAAUCCUGACAGCACCACUGUGAGGCCUUGGAUAAGUCACUGCCCCAGUCUAAGCCUCCAUGUCCUCAUCUGUGAAAGAUGAGAACAAUAAGAUCUGCUCAGAGGCUUGUCGUGAGGAUGAAAUGAGCCCUUUGAAGAGUCCUGGUGCACACCACAUGAUGUUCCACUGUUACUACUUUUAUUGAUGAUGCGUGUAGAGGACCCAGCGCUCUGCCUGGAAGGAACAUCCUGAAGAAUCUGAAACUGUCCCAUCCUCCUUCCUGAUUACUUAAAUUCCUCGUUUUAUAAUAAAUCUCCUACCUAUCUCAGAGGAUGUCUGUAAGGCUCCUCCGGAAAACCUGUACUAAGCACACUCCUCCCACCCCAGGAGGAAGUGAUCUUCCCUGAUACCCUCAGCAAGGAUGCAGACUUCCAUCCCAGCCCUGGUACAUGUGGGUCUUGGGGGUUAUUCUCCUCUAGAGAGCAGGGAGUGUAAGGACUGGGGCAUCUCAGGGCCCACCCCACCCCCCACCUAGCAACCUGAUGUGUGAGAGGCACUCAGGGGGGUGCUUUUGGGGUGAGCUGGUAUGGGCUCAAGGGUCCUGUUAGCUGGAUCAGGGGGAGGGCACAUGGAAGAAUGAAUGAGAAAGCCACCUGUGUCGGUGAGUAGCUGCCCUGUAAGUGGGGAGCAGCAGUGCUCACGCCCACCCAGGCCCCGAGAAUGCCUCUUUCCCAGACACUGGAUUCUUUUGAAACCCUGGGGACACAGCGGAGGAGAGAGCAGGACUGGAACAGCAGGGGAAAUGAGGCAGCUACACUCCCAUUCCUGCUCAACCCCCAACCUUCCACCUGACCCCCCACCCUUUGGUUAAUCACCAAGUCUGCAACGUUAAAAUCUUCUGGGAGCUGUUACAAAUCCAGAAUGCCCAGGCCUCACCCCAGACCAAUUAAAUCAGAAAUCCCUGGCUGAGGAACCCAGGCGUGCGUAUUUUCUCGUGAAGUCCUCAGGUGAUUCCACUGUGCCGCCAAGGUUAAAAAUAUCAGAUCGUCUAGGGAGAGACACUGUUUCAGAGUCUCAGGGACCGCAGGAUUGGGUGAUAUGUCUUAGCAGCCGCACUGACUCAGGUUUCCAGCCUUGCUGUCUUAGAGGGGAGAUGAAGAGACUCACUGAUGCUCACUGGGCAUCCACUUUGCACAGAGUCUCUGUCUGGAUCCCAAGGGAAUACACCAGUAACUCACAGCAAAGAUCAUAAUAACAACAUUUAUUAAGUGCCCAUUGUGUGCCAGGCACUUAAUAACAUUGACUAAUCCUCACCAAAAUUCACAGAAUUUUAAUCCCCAUUUUAGAGAUGUAUGGAUGCUGUCAACAUACUGUUCAAUUUCACCUUCAUACAACCAAGGUUGCUUAUUAUAAACAUCUGUGAGUUUGGUUUAGGAGAUUUUUUUGUUUGUUUAUUUUUUCUGCUCAAGAGACCUGAGCAUUCUCUUUUUUUGUGGCCAAGUGAGCAUUGUCAAGCAAAGAUGGAUGAAGCCUUGGUGGAUAAACACCCCAGUUUUUUCAUCUCUUGGAGGGUAUUUUAUAUACCAGUAACUCAAACUUUGCUGCAUGGUAGAUCAUCUAGGGAAUAUAAAAAUUUUUGAUGCCCAAGCCUCAUCCCAGACCAAUUAAAUUCAUGUCUCUGUUGGAGGAUUCAGGCACCUGUGUUUUUUAAAGCUCCCAG